rnacentral:pre_miRNA from 1 species
UUUGUAGUAUAAGUAUAUCCCAUGUAGUAUUUGGGAUAUACUUAUCCUACCA